UCUCGUUUUGAGUUUUUCAUAGGGGAUGGAAUAAUUCUGGAGGUGGGAAUAAUCUACUACAAGACACAUCUAGUUUAGAAAAUGCAUUUGAAGAGAUAUAAGAAAGUUCAGGAACUUUCAAGAAAAACAAAAAAAGACGAGUGACAAAAAUCAGUUACGAGAAAGAAACGAAAAACGAGAAAUCUGAAAAUGAUCAAUUGUAUAGUUUAGAACCAAAGUAUUUUUUUUUUACAAAAUUGCUUUAUUUGUUUUUUAUAGAAAUUUAUGUUAUAUUUAUUGUACCUGUGGAAAUUAUUCAAGAUUAUUUUUGUAUUUUAAAAGAAAUAAGAUGUUUGUCAA